rnacentral:lncRNA from 1 species
CCUCACCCCGGCUCUGCUCUCAAGCCGGGCUUGGCUCCCCGCCUGCCCAAAUGCGUUCAACAUCCCCCGAAAGGCCAUUUCCCUUCCAGUCUUCCCGGAGAGAUGUCAGGGUGACGAGGGAGCUUAUCUUUCGGUGGCUCCGAAACAGCCACGAAGCCGAGCUCUACCAGUAACAAAAAUGGCGUCAUUCCGCCAGCGCCAGGACCUCUGUCGCUGGCCGUGGUCUCGCACUGCUUCUGGAGGCUCCCAUUCCAGCCAGAGGAGAGACCUAACACCCUACAUGACUGCAUGGGAGAUACGGCCUAUAAGAAGAUGAUUAAGGUUAAUGAUGUCAGAAGGUGGAACCCUGAUUGGAGACAAGUGUAAGAGACCCAAGAGAUUCUCUCUCCGCCAUGUGAUGACACAGCAUGAAGGCAGCCAUCGGCAAGCCAGAAAGAGAGGCUUCACCAGAAACCAAACCUUUCUGGAACCUUGAUCUUGGACUUUCCAGCCUCCAGAACUGUGAGAAAAUAAAUUUCUAUUGUUUAAGCCAUCUAGUCUAUGGUAUUUUGUUAUGGCAACCUAAGCAGACUAAUACAGUAGCUAUGUACAUCUUUAAGAUUUCUCUCAAAUAUGUGGGAAACUAUGUAUGACAGGACCCCUGGAAGUUAAGAAUUUUCAUGAUGAUCAAAGCCCUUCUCAAUAAUUUUUUGAUGCUUCUCUCUAGACAUGUCCAC